AACACCUCAGUAGCACGUCAUACGCCGACCAAUCAUCAG
rnacentral:antisense_RNA from 1 species